AUUAUUAUGAGAUAAAUACAUAAUAUAUAUAUUAUAGAGACAUAAUACAUAUUAUUGAUAAUUAAGAUCUGCAAGCAGAUCCAAUAUAUGCACUGUACGGUUAUUUUAUUUUUAAUUUGUUCUUUUCACUGUAACCUAAUUACAAAAAUAAGCCAAAUUUUUUCGUAUUUUUCAAUCUAAUCCAAAUAUUUAAAUUUUGAAAUAAUUAGUUAAAUUUUCAAAUUUUGUAAAUAUUUUAUCCAAAUUUUUCAUAAUGGUGAAAAAUUGUUAUCAUUUUAUCUAUUUUUUUUCUACAUAUUAUUUUCACUUUGUUUUCCGGCUGAUCUAACCUUACCAUUAUCAUCAAUAAUUUUCAAAUUUCAUUUAGAUAUCUAUGAUGUAUCAAAAUUCUUAAUCCUUUGGUGAAUUUGGUUUCUUUGUCAUAAAUUCUCUCUCUUCGUUACCACCAAAUCUUAUCAUUAUGUGAUACUCAAUGGUUAUGAAAAUGAAAUUAUAAAAGAACCGGUGAAUGUGGUAAAGUUGGAUAGUUAUAAACAAGUGAAAAAAUGAAUUCAAUAUUCAAUUUAUAAAAAUUGGAUAAAAUUUUAACAAUUUAUAUAAAUUUAGCUAAUUUUAUCAAAUUUAAGCAUUUGGAUUAAAUUGUCAAGACGUGAAAAGAUUUGAAAUUUUUCUUUAAUUAGGUUUCUCAUUAUUAGAUUAUAACUUAUUAAUUCAUUUAAUGCUAGUUAUUAGCACAGUAAAAUUUAUUUUAUAAAAACUAAAAUUAAGAUAAAAACUCCGUUUAUUGAUCGGCUCAAAUUGCAUUUUAAACAAUGAUGCGCUUCUCCUGAG
rnacentral:misc_RNA from 1 species